GACGAACGCUGGCGGCGUGCUUAACACAUGCAAGUCGAACGCUGAAGCUCAGCUUUUGUUGGGUGGAUGAGUGGCGAACGGGUGAGUAACACGUGAGUAACCUGCCCCCUUCUUUGGGAUAACGCCCGGAAACGGGUGCUAAUACUGGAUAUUCACUGGUCUUCGCAUGGGGGUUGGUGGAAAGGGUUUUUCUGGUGGGGGAUGGGCUCGCGGCCUAUCAGCUUGUUGGUGGGGUGAUGGCCUACCAAGGCUUUGACGGGUAGCCGGCCUGAGAGGGUGACCGGUCACAUUGGGACUGAGAUACGGCCCAGACUCCUACGGGAGGCAGCAGUGGGGAAUAUUGCACAAUGGGCGAAAGCCUGAUGCAGCGACGCCGCGUGAGGGAUGGAGGCCUUCGGGUUGUGAACCUCUUUCGCUCAUGGUCAAGCCGCAACAAUGGUUGUGGUGAGGGUAGUGGGUAAAGAAGCGACGGCUAACUACGUG
rnacentral:rRNA from 1 species